UACGGGGGGAGCAAGCGUUGUUCGGAUUUACUGGGCGUAAAGGGCGCGUAGGCGGCCAGCGCAAGUCGGUUGUGAAAUCUCCGGGCUUAACUCGGAAAGGUCAACUGAUACUGCGCGGCUAGAGUGCAGAAGGGGCAACUGGAAUUCUCGGUGUAGCGGUGAAAUGCGUAGAUAUCGAGAGGAACACCAGUGGCGAAGGCGGGUCUCUGGACAGUUCCUGACACUGAGGCACGAAGGCCAGGGGAGCAAACGGG
rnacentral:rRNA from 1 species